CGGGUUUUUGAAGCUGACUUUGAUCUGGAGCGUGAUUCUGAUGGAAGGUUUGGUUUCGAUUUGGAAUUGGAUCUCGACCUGGACCGGGUCUCCUGAUUGGUGCCAGCAUUCUCACUCUCUCCUCGACCUUCCCUCUGGCUGGAUUCAGACUUGGCAUGUUCCCGCUCCUUUGACACGGAGCGGGAUGGAGAUCUGGACUGGGAGCGGUCAGUGUCUUCCUUCUUCUUCUUCUUGCUGCUGCCCGCCUUGCUGUCUCGCUUGCUGCCUCGCUUUCUGCUCCUCUCACUCUUGCUGCGGCUGCGACUGCGACUGCGGCUCUCCUCUCUGCUUCUCUUCCUGCCCUUCCUCUUGUCCUUGCUCUUGCUGCGGCUCCUGCUCCGGCUCCUGCUGCCCCCUUUGCUCCUGCUCCGGCUCCGACUCUGGCGGAGGCUCUUCUCCUGGCUCCUGCCCCUGCUCACACUCCCUCGCUUCUCCUCCUCCACUCUCCUCUCCUGACUCCUGCUCCGACUUUUGCUCUUACUUUUAUGCCUGCUAGGACUCCGGCUCUUGGGUUUCCCGACAUUGUCAUUGUUUUGGAUCUUCUCUUCAGCUUGGUCUUUGCUCUUGCUGCGGCUCUUGCCAGCGCUAUGGCUGCGGCUGCGGCUCUUUUCCUUGCUGGGGCUCCUGCUUUUCUCUUUCUUGCUCCGGCUCCGACUCUGGCUCCGGCUCCGGCUCUUGCUCCGGGAGCGGGAGCCCGACCUGGACCGAGAUCUACUCUUAGAAUGACUGCUUUUGCUGCUGCCACUUCGGCUUCUGCUCUUACGGGAAUGUCUGCUUCGAGAGCGAGACCUUGAAUGACUCCGGCUUCUGGAGUAGGACCGGCGUCGUCUGGAACCUGGCUUGUCUUCAACUAAUCUGAUUUUUCUCCCAUUGACUUCAGUUCCAUCCAACUUUUCCAAAGCUCUUUUCAUAUCAGAAUAAGAUACAAAUUCAAUCACCCCUUCAUUUUUG
rnacentral:lncRNA from 1 species